GGGGAUGUAGCUCAACGGGAGAGCACCGCCCUUGCACGGCGGGGGUUGUCGGUUCGAGUCCGAUCAUCUCCACCA
rnacentral:tRNA from 1 species